AAGCUCGUAGUUGAAUUUCGGGAUCAGUAGGUUGGUCAUGCCUAUGAUAUGUACUGGCUUUACUGAUUCCUCCUUCUUGAUGAUCUGUAAUGUCAUUAAUUUGGUGUUGCAGGGAGUCAGGACUGUUACUUUGAAAAAAUUAAAGUGUUUAAAGCAGGCAUACGCUUGAAUACAUGAGCAUGGAAUAAUGAAAUAGGACGUUCGAUCCUAUUUUGUUAGUUUCUAGGAUUGACGUAAUGAUUAAUAGGGAUAGUUGGGGUCAUUAGUAUUCAAUUGUCAGAGGUGAAAUUCUUGGAUUUAUUGAAGACUAACUACUGCGAAAGCAUUUGCCAAGGAUGUUUUCAUUAAUCAAGAACGAAAGUUAGAGGAUCGAAGACGAUCAGAUACCGUCGUAGUCUUAACCAUAAACUAUGCCGACUAGGGAUCAGAUGAUGUUAUUUUUAAUGACUCAUUCGGCGCCUUACAGGAAACCAAAGUGUUUGGAUUCUGGGGGGAGUAUGGUCACAAGGCUGAAACUUAAAGGAAUUGACGGAAGGGCACCACCAGGGGGUGGAGCCUGCGGCUUAAUUUGACUCAACACGGGGAA
rnacentral:rRNA from 1 species